CUAGGCGUAAGGCGUGCGCAGGCGGAUUGUUAAGCAAGACGUGAAAGCCCCGGGCUUAACCUGGGAAUGGCGUUUUGAACUGGCAGUCUAGAGUGCGUCAGAGGGGGGUGGAAUUCCACGUGUAGCAGUGAAAUGCGUAGAGAUGUGGAGGAACACCAAUGGCGAAGGCAGCCCCCUGGGAUGACACUGAGGCUCAUGUACGAAAGCGUGGGUAGCAAACAGGAUUAGAUACCCUGGUAGUCCACGCCCUAAACGAUGUCAACUGGUUGUUGGGGGAGUGAAAUCCCUUAGUAACGAAGCUAACGCGUGAAGUUGACCGCCUGGGGAGUACGGUCGCAAGAUUAAAACUCAAAGGAAUUGACGGGGACCCGCACAAGCGGUGGAUGAUGUGGAUUAAUUCGAUGCAACGCGAAAAACCUUACCUACCCUUGACAUGUCCAGGGUCCUGCAGAGAUGCGGGAGUGCCCGAAAGGGAAUUGGAACACGGGUGCUGCAUGGCUGCCGUCAGCUCGUGUCGUGAGAUGUUGGGUUAAGUCCCGCAACGAGCGCAACCCUUAUCAUUAGUUGCUACGCAAGGGCACUCUAAUGAGACUGCCGGUGACAAACCGGAGGAAGGUGGGGAUGACGUCAAGUCCUCAUGGCCCUUAUGGGUAGGGCUUCACACGUCAUACAAUGGUCGGUACAGAGGGUUGCCAAGCCGCGAGGUGGAGCCAAUCCCAGAAAGCCGAUCGUAGUCCGGAUUGUUCUCUGCAACUCGAGAGCAUGAAGUCGGAAUCGCUAGUAAUCGCGGAUCAGCAUGUCGCGGUGAAUACGUUCCCGGGU
rnacentral:rRNA from 1 species